AAACCAUGAUGAGGGUAUUUUUUUAGAAGGUCCUUGAACCUUUCAUGUGCUUUCAAAAGUGUUUCAGAGUCAUCUUGCCUGAACACUGAAAUCUCUUAUCUUGGUAU